AAUGCACAAUUUUCGGGUGAAAGAAAAAUUACACUUUGAGGGAUUGUUUUUUCAUGUUAGAUGUUGUGCUCACAUUCUAAAUUUAGUAGUACAAGACGGUUUAGGCACUAUAGAAUUGUGUAUUUCAAAAAUUAGAGAAGGUGUGAAGUACUUGAAAAAGUCAUCAGGUCGUUUGUUGAAGUUUGGUGAAAUAGCGAUAUCUCUCGGUAUCAGAACUCGGCGUUCUCUUUGCACUGAUGUAAAAACUAGGUGGAACUCAACGCGUCGAAUGCUUGAUUCAGCCAUUUACUACAAACAAGCUUUUGAAGGUUAUGCAUUGAGAGAUUCUAACUUUAUGUGGUGCCCCACAAAUGAUGAAUGGAUUCGGGCCGGAAAAGUUUGCAAGCUAUUAGCCGUUUUCCUAAAAGCUACUGAUAUGUUUUCAGGUAUAUUAUAUCAUAAUCUCAAACUUGCUUCUUAAUUUAAAAUUACAAGAUGUUUGUUUAAAUGCUACUAAUUUGUUUUCAGGUUCAACAUAUCUAACUUCAAACUUAUUUCUUACUGAAAUUUUUAAAGUGAAAAAAGAGAUAAAUAAUGUUUUUAUAUCAGAGGAUUCUUUCUUAAUGGAAAUGAGUAAACCCAUGUUUCAAAAGUUUGAGAAAUAUUGGGGAGAAAUUGGGCUACUUAUGUCCAUUGCUUCUAUUUUAGAUCCUCGCUAUAAGAUGUUGUCAGUUGAAUGGACCUUUGAAAAGUUAUAUCUAGAAGAUGAAUGUAACAGUCGGGUUCAAGAUGUGAAGGACAAGUUAAAAUCUCUUUUCGAUAAGUAUUUUAAUGCAUAUAUGAAAUCCAAGGCUGCCACGGGUCACUCAAAAGCAUCAACAUCUUCUGACGAACCGACUCCAGAUGUUGAUGAUUUUCAUGCUUUCCUCAAACGUAGACCCGUUGAAAUCGGACAAAGAACUGAACUUGAGGUGUAUCUAGAUGAGCCAAAUGAUGGAUGUGAGGACUCCCAAUAUGAUGUGUUGAAAUGGUGGAGUCAACACUGUAGCAAGUUUCCCGUAUUAAGCAAGAUGGCUAAAGAUAUUUUUUGGCAUUCUGAUUACAACUGUCGCUUCCGAAUCAGCCUUCAGCGCCGGGGGACGCAUAUUGGAUGAUUACCGGAGUUCUCUAUCAAAGGAUAUGGUGGAACUUCUCGUUUGUGGAAGUGAUUGGUUAAAGGCCGGCUCAAAAGCAACGAUAAAAACAUUGGAACAAUCCGCAAAAGAAGAAGAAAACUUGGAUAUUGAUUUGUUGAUUCCGGACGGGUGUGGUACAAGCAAUUGAAAAGAAAGUUGGUUUAACAGGUUAUGUGUGUUGAUCUAAAGAGGGAUUUUGUCGAAUGAAGAUGCCAAUAUUUAUUUUUGUUGAACUCAUUAUAUAUGCGAAUGAAGACGCCGACACCGACUUUUGCUUGAACUUUAAGAUAUUUUGUUUUUGAACCGAAGGUUUAAUAUAUGUUUGGCUUAUUAUGUA